rnacentral:rRNA from 1 species
UAGGGAAUAUUGGGCAAUGGAGGCAACUCUGACCCAGCAACACCGCGUGAAGGAAGAAGGUCUUCGGAUUGUAAACAUCUGUCGUGAGGGAAAAAGAAAAUGAUGGUACCUCAUAAGAAAGCACCGGCAAACUAUGUGCCAGCAGCCGCGGUAAUACAUAGGGUGCAAGCGUUGUCCGGAAUCAUUGGGCGUAAAGGGAGUGUAGGCGGUUUUGUAAGUUAAAUGUGAAAACCUAUGGCUUAACCAUAGAACUGCAUUUAAAACUAUGAAACUUGAGUAUGGAAGAGGUAAGUGGAAUUCCUAGUGUAGCGGUGGAAUGCGUAGAUAUUAGGAGGAACACCAGAGGCGAAGGCGGCUUACUGGGACAUUACUGACGCUGAAACUCGAAAGCGUGGGGAGCAAACA